rnacentral:rRNA from 1 species
AACGAUGAACUGGAGCUUGCUCCAGGAAUUAGUGGCGAACGGGUGAGUAACACGUGAGUAACCUGCCCUUGACUCUGGGAUAAGCGCUGGAAACGGCGUCUAAUACCGGAUACGAGCUUCAGCCGCAUGGCUAGGAGUUGGAAAGAAUUUCGGUCAAGGAUGGACUCGCGGCCUAUCAGCUAGUUGGUGAGGUAAUGGCUCACCAAGGCGACGACGGGUAGCCCGGCCCUGAGAGGGUGACCGGCCACACUGGGACUGAGACACGGCCCAGACUCC